AAGUGCUCUGGUUCAUUUAAGCUGUGAGGCACUAUAUGUAUGUAUGUAUAUACUUCAGCGGUCGGCACGCACACAUUACAUUGCGUUUGUGUGCGUUGACAGAAGUCAAACUAAAACAAAAAGUAUAUACAAUAAUAUUAUUGUGUUGCUGCCGACCACUGUUACAAACGCGUUGUGCCGGGUCGCAGUUUGACAUGAUCGUUCAUGUUCUAUUACGUGAUCCGGUGUUUCUUGCGAAUCAUGCCCGCUUUAAGUCCGUUUGCGAGACUUUGGUCGUCGCUCGGUUUUUGACCGGAAAACAAAAGGUGAAGCGGAGAUUGAAAUAAAUUAUGACUCUGUCAAACGCACUUUGCAAAGAAAAAGACAGCCUUUCUUGCCAAAGCCUCCAUCUUCUGCAGAGAAUGUUCUGGAAGCUUUUCAAGACGAAAAUAUUAUGAACCGUUUUGGAAUAGCCAAGGGAAAUACUGCAAAUCAGUUCUAUAAAAAAGUGUACGCAUCGAGCUAUAUAGACUCGAUCAUUUGCUGCCUUAAAGGAGCAUCCUUUAUAUCAGAUUACGAAAAGGCAAUGCGUAACGCGUUAAAAGGUCUGCAUCCCAACAUGAAUUUUUACGCCUGUUGGUUUCAUUUUACUCAAGCAUGCAAGAAAAAUCGAGUGGUUUUGAAAAAACGCUGAAAUGCAAUAAGAAAGCUUACAUGCUAUUUAUGAAAUUUUUGCACUUGCCGCUUUUACCAGAAAGCAAAAUUGUCGAAGCAUUUAACCUUCUAAAAGGCGAAGCAAUAAACUUAAAUAAGAAGCUGUUUUCUCCAUUUUUAAAAUAUUUUAAUAGACAGUGGCUUAAAAAGGAGGGACCAAAAAGCAUAUCCGUGUUUAAGAGGUCAACUAGAACCACAAGCUCAGUAGAAGCUUAUAAUUUGAAUUUGGGAAAUAAAAUUCGAGCAAAUGGGCACUUUUUUAAAUUUGUUCAAUGUCUUAUUGAUGCAGAAAAUGAAAAAAGUCGCGAGUUUGCUUUACUCUUUCAAAAUGGUGGUAAUGGAAAUCAGACACAGAAGAAGAAAUUACGUGAUCGCUCAAA